AUCAUCAGGAAUGAUGCUAGGUUACAUUACAUCGAUAUGUAAUUUUUAUAAUGUUGUGUUUAUAAUGUAACCUAGCAUCAUUCCUGAUGAU
rnacentral:miRNA from 1 species